CUGGACAGGAUAAGUGCGCGGCAGGUCACUAUUUGUGUCAUCCUCUCCAGAUGUGGAAGUCUCUAAAGAUGUCUUUUUUAAAAUUCUCCAUCAUGACCACCUCUACCAUCAUUGUUAGCAUCACAACUUCCAUCAGCAGCAAGAUUUAAAGAUAGACGAAAAGGGGAAAGCACUGGAGUCCUCACAUGGGAGCAGCUGUGCUGCCUAAUCCACUUUCAUCUGACAGAAUCUGCUAAAGAACUCUUUGGAAACGCCUUUAUGCCUUCAAACGCAAGCUUUUAAAUCCAUGGACCUAAAGGCAGGAAAAUAAAAAAAAAAAGCCAACCACUGGCUCUUGCUAGCAGACAGAUUUUAAAGUAAAAGCACGGCUGGACAGGGCAAGGGUUGUAUGGGUGCCAAAUCCCCAUCUAAGACCUACCACAUCUCAACCUACAGCCUCCUCCUCCCUCCUCCACCUCCUCCCUCCUCCUCUUUCUCCUCAUUCUCCACUUGUCUCUCCCAUGGGAGUGACAUAGAGGCCACUGCUUGGUCUUCUGCGCCUCAUCUCCACCUCACCGUGGAAACGGGGAUGUCCAGGUAGUGAUGUCGUGGAAGAGGAACUACUUUGCGUCGGGCGGCGGAGCAGCCCAGGGGCUGGUGACCCCGAGAACCAUGACUUCUAUCGCACCCAGCAAGGGCCUGAGCAACGAGCCGGGACAGAACAGCUGCUUCCUCAACAGCGCUCUGCAGGUUUUAUGGCACCUUGACAUCUUCCGUAGGAGCUUUCGACAGCUGACCACUCACAAGUGCAUGGAGGACUCCUGCAUCUUCUGUGCUUUAAAGAGUAUCUUCGCUCAGUUCCAGUUCAGCAGCGAGCGCGUUCUACCAUCCGACGCGCUGCGGAGCGCUCUGGCCAAGACUUUUCAAGACGAGCAGCGCUUCCAGCUGGGCAUCAUGGACGAUGCCGCUGAAUGCUUCGAGAACCUCCUGAUGCGCAUCCACUUCCACAUCAGCACGGAGAGCAGAGAGGACAUCUGCACCGCCAAGCACUGCAUACCACACCAGAAGUUUGCCAUGACUCUGUUUGAGCAGGUAGGUAGGAGGCUUCAGAGAGCCCCGCCCCCCGCACGGCCCGCGAUGAGGCUAAGCGACUCGUUUUGUUUGCAGUGCGUGUGUAACAGCUGUGGAGCAACGUCGGACCCCCUCCCCUUCAUUCAGAUGGUUCAUUACAUCUCCACCACAUCCUUAUGUAACCAGGCGGUGAGGAUGCUGGAGUGCAGAGAGAAACCCACGCCGGACAUGUUCGGGGAGCUCCUGCGCAACGCCAGCAACAUGGGGGACCUGCGCAACUGUCCUAGUAACUGUGGAGAGGUGUUGCGUAUCCGCCGGGUCCUCAUGAACUCGCCGGAGAUUGUGUCCAUCGGGCUGGUGUGGGACUCCGACCACUCUGACCUGGCAGAGGACGUCAUCCACAGCCUGGGAACCUGCCUGCGACUGGGAGAUUUGUUCUACCGUGUGACAGAGGAGAGGGCUCGCCAGGCGGAGCUCUACUUGGUGGGAAUGGUGUGCUACUAUGGCAAGCACUACUCCACCUUCUUCUUCCAGACCAAGAUUCGCAAGUGGAUGUACUUCGACGACGCGCACGUCAAAGAGAUUGGCCCAAAGUGGAAGGACGUAGUGUCUCGCUGUAUCAAAGGCCAUUAUCAGCCCCUGCUGCUGCUCUACGCUGACCCCCGUGGGACGCCUGUGAUACUGCAGGAGAGCUCCAACCCGUGUAGCAGCUCCAACCCGCAGCUGGAGCUCCAGCACUGCAGCAGCAAAGCUGGUUACGACAGUGAAGACUCAGGUCGGGAGCCAUCUAUAUCCAGCGACACUCGCACCGACUCCUCCACGGACAGCUCCAGUCACCGCACCUCUCGCAGUCGACCCCUGCAUCAGUCCACCGGCAGCCACCUCUCCAGUGAGUCGCAGACCACAGUGGUCUGUAACUACGACAUCGGCACGCCGCCGCUUGGUGCUGACGCUGGAGAGUCAGCACUGGAGGGUCCUGCCCGCCCCCCUUCUGCCCCCCUGCAGGAGUACAAGGAGACGGCAGUGUUCCUCCUCUCCUCCCGCAGGCCUCUCACCUCUUCCUCCUCGUCUUCUCGGCCCCUGUCCUCCUCCUCUUCGUCGGGAGUCGGGGGCUGCGAGGGCGGGGUCGGGGGGCCUCACUGGGAGGAUGAAAGCACGAGCAGCGAGAGCAAGUCCAGUUCUUCUGGAGGCCGUUAUCGGCCAACUUGGAGGCCUCGAAGAGAGGCUCUGAACAUCGACAGCAUCUUCACUCAUCAAAGAGGCUCUUCUCUGGGCUACAACACCGUACCGGGCCAUCCAGCCCCUCCGGAGUCCCAGGACUCCGUCACCCUGGCGGGACCCGUUCUUCAACCUGGGCUACCAGACGUCAAAGGGAGGGAUAGCAGAGAGUUGAAGGUGGGGUUUGGGCUGGUCGGGCAGCCCAGGGCUCUGACCGGUCGGCGGACAAUGGGUCCCCCUGCUUCUCCACCUAUGAGAGGGGUGGAGCACCAGCCGCGACUGAUCCAGAGGAUGGAGAGUGGCUACGAAAGCAGCGAGAGAAACAGCAGCAGCCCUGACAGGGAGGUGGGCCAACAAAAGCCGGUGCUGAUGUCCGUACCAUCAUGGCGUUCAGUGCCCAAAUCUAAGAGCACCAACGCCAUCUUGCAGGAGCUGCCGUCACCCGGCUGGGGCGGAGCCGCCGUCAAAGCCUCAGGUCGCAGUGAACUCGACGAGCUCCAGGAGGAGGUCGCAAGAAGAGCCCGCCAGCAGGAGCAGCAGAAGCGGAAGGAGGCGGAGCGGGAAGCUGCUAUGGGAUUUAACCCCAAACCCAGCAAAUUCAUGGACCUGGACCAGCUUCAGCACCAGGCUGUGCUCAGACCCCUGCAUGAGGCUAACGCUCAUAGCGGAUUGGCUGUAGCUGCGUGCAUGAGGAGCACUGGGGGCCCAAUCAAACGCAGGCAGGAACAGGAAACGGAACGGGAGUCAGCAAGCGCCUGCCCACAGGGGCCAUGCAGUGAACAGCCUGACUCAGUCCAAGUACUGCUGACGCCCAGUCAGGAGGAGGAAGAGGAGCAGGCCACGCCCGGCCCGCACGCCGCUCCGGUCCAGGACCUGCCCCCUCCUCCGCCCUACCGACCUGCUUCCCCUCGAUCUGCGCUCACCCUCAACCUCACUCAUCCUUGUGGCCCUUCCAGCCAGGAGAAUGGGCAAGGGGGGUGCAUGAGGAGGAGAGGGGAGGAAGGUGAGGAUGGAAGGGAGGGGACUGGGGUGAGGUUGUGUGAGCUGCUGCAGGCUGGGGGGGUCAGCGUGAGACCCCUGGGGAAGCACUUAGCCAUCUCCCUCCCCUCUCUCCCUCUGCGUCUCUGGGACACCACACACACCUCACAACCUGCACACACUCCGACGCAGCCCUCAUCGCCGCCCUCGUCCCCCCCACCGCAACUCCCAGGGCAAAAGAAGCCUUUCACCCCGCUGUGGCAGCCCCCCCAGCCCCACUCCCCCGACGUCAGUGCUUGCCAACGGAAACACCACGCUGCCGCCACCGCAGAUAGCGCCGUGCGCCACUGGUCCUCCUGGAGCCUAGACCGCCCCGAUGCCGUGGUGACGCCGUACGACACGCCCCCCGACCGCUGUGUUCCCAUCAUGCCGCAGAACCACAGCUGCAGUUGUCAGUCUUGUCCGGGGCACCACAGCUCCCAGCAUGCCCAGGGGCAGCGCGCCGAUCCCUGCUGUGAACGCGAUGAGGCUGAACUGUCUGAGCUCGACUCCCUUUACCAGGCCAGCCUGCUGGCUGGAAAGACAGGCUGCAGCCCAUCAGAGAGGCUCAUUUUCAGAGUGGGGGGGCAGGCGCGCUCCAAGACCCCCAAUGCAGACAUGGAGAGGAGUGUGUACGGGGCAGACAGCACCCCCACCUACCUCAACAAGCCAAUGAAAUCAUGGGAUCCACACUUUGGGGCGGGGCCUGAUGAUGGGGAGCACCAGGGGCGAAUGGGACGCAGCCUGAGUGGGACAGUUGUGACCUCCCGCCACAAUCGCUUGACUGCAACCCGCAGUUUUGUGAAGCCGGCUGAUGCCAGUGCCUCUCCUUGCUUACUUCCUCUCUUCUGAGUCCCUGUUGCUAUUCCACUCCUCAUCACCUCCUCCAUCCUCCUCAUCACCAACACCUUCAUCAUCACUUCCCUUCACCGCUUUCAAGGAGCUGUCCGAAGGUGCAGGGAGUUUCUGGCUCUGUCUGACCGGAGUCAAGCUGCCUUCUGACCGGAAUCCGGCUCUCCUCCACUAACGUUUGUGACUCCACAUCCCGGCUGUGGAGCAGGCUCAGGAGGAUCAAAUCGAGGCCUGUCCUGUUCCUCCACAUGCAAUGACACACACACACACACACACACACCUGCACUGACGUAGAACCUCCCUCAGCGCCUGCAGCACCCUGCUUAGUCCCUUCUUGCCUUCCUCCCCUUCUUGUUGACCUCCUAUUCUGUCUAUGCAGUCAAUCUGACCCCGCCCCCUCCCGACAAAACCCGAAGCCCCUCCCUCUCCUCUUUAGUACUGUUUUUCGUCUCCCUGAGGGUUUCCCGGUCUGCUCCAAGCGAACUUGUCGCCCUCCUCGGGGGAGACUCUUACCAAGUAGCCACGCCUCUUCCUCUUUCUUCACGGGCAUUUAAUGUUGGAUGCACAUGUAGCUGAACUGAGUCUGUUUCAGAUCGACAGCCAUAUUUUUCUCUUUUCGUUCCGGGGGGGUUUGGUUGUGUUUCUUUCUUGUGUGUACGCACAGUAAAUCCACCCAGACUGAACUCUUAUUAGCUACAAGUCAUGUACAGAAAAAACAAACCCAUGUAUGAAAACCUGUAUGUUAAUUAAUAAGACCUUAUGGAAUGUUGAUAAUUAACAAAUAUUGAUAAACUAAAAGUGGUACUUCCUCGUGUCUGCAUUUUAACUAGGAGUGGAGUGCACUUCACAAGUGUCUAGCUGGAGUUUCCGUCCCCAAACCGCCUGCCAACCUAAUGACAGUUCUCCCGUUUCUACCGGGAGAUUAAAACAGAGAAGCGCUCGUGUUCCUGAUUUGACAUUUUCCUUUCUUUUGUAUCUAUCUGCCUGUCUUGCUUUAAUUUGUUCCAAAAAAAAAAGGUAUUUCUGAUGGAAUGUGAAGAAGUAGGUUUGGUUUUUCUUGUGGGAAGCAGAUGACUUAAGUGCACUUUGAGGGCGUAAGUGCACUCUGUGAGGGGACAGGACGAAUGGGUUUUACUCCAAGGCCUCAGGUGAACUUCAAACGAUGGGGGUUUAGAGAUUGUUUUAUGAAAAAUAAAAAAAGUAAAUAUGUUCAUAUUCAGCCCAUAUAUAUAAAUAUGCUUUAUAAUUGCGUAUUAGAGGUAUAUUUUCAGCCUAACUUCAGAGAUGUCAGACAUUUUUCAUUGGUAUAAAGAAAUCCUGCUCUGUGUGCAUUUAUAAUGAUGCAUUGUGACAUAACUAAGCCCAUGUAAAAACAGAGUUUUUCAUGACUUUACUGAUGGAUUGUUGUAACUAAACCAAAGGUUGGCUUGUUUUUCUUUUUUCAUUCCGAGGUCACGAUGUGUUCUUUGUUUUUUGGAUGUGAGAGAAUGUAGCCAAUUGUAGCGCAUGAGUCCGCUAUGCAAAUCAACCUUCCCUCACAAUCCUGCAUCAGAGACAGUCUGGUGGAAGACACACCCACUCUGGGCGCGCUCCGGGGACGACGCCGAGACGAGGAGGAAGCCUCGCGUUUUUAAAGCUGCUGGUGAACUUAAAAAAAGAAGAAGAAACAAAAAAAAAAGACACAAAAAAGGGAGAAGAAGAGCGAAUGAAUGUAAACCAAAGGACGAAACUGUGUGUUUGCGGAUGACGAGAUGGUCAGAGACCGGAGGUCAUUACACAGGUGGGAGGGGGGGUUUGUGGGUGUGUUUCGACUGAGUGUGUGCCAGUUUUCGGGGUGGUGUUGCUCGGGGAAAGAGGUAACCUGUAUUUUUGCAAUAAAGUUAUUACCAAUGCACUCCCACAGGGGGCGUAACCACA